AGUUAGUAAUAGACAAAAAAAGGCAUCUCAAAAACAUUGAAAAAUAAACAAAUAGAUCAUUCUCCAGUUCUAAAUCUCGUGCAUCUUGUAAUCGGAGACGCUGGAAGGAUACUUGGAACUCCAAAUGCAGGUCUCAGUUCUUGAUCAAAGUCCAAUUUAUAGUAACGAUCGUGUCUCUCAAUCACCUUAAACGGGCCCAAGAAAGUUGGAGAAAGAGACUCCUUUAUAGUGUCUCGAACGAACGUGUGUUAUUUUCUCCAUAUUUUAAAGAAACUUUCGACGUUGAGGUUGCCAGAAGUAAAGGUGGACGCGUUAAAGAAAUUAAAGACCAUGGGUCCUGAGCGGCCUGAGAGUAAUUGAAAAGAUGGAUAUAGAAGAAAAUAGAACCCGAGUCUAUUGGAUUCGUGCUACUAGCCCGGUCUUAAAUGAUCUGUGGAAACGUUCUAUGAGUCCGUUGGACUCUGGAUGAUACGAGAUUGUGUUCUUACUUGCAAUCCCAAGUGUCCU
rnacentral:lncRNA from 1 species